UGUGCCGAGACUGAAGUUGUCAAGCUAUUUUUAAAAGAACUACAUACAUAACGAAAAGUGUAGUACUGCCCUAUUAAUACAUUUUGCAGUCUGAAAACCAGGCACUUCACAGACAGAUGGGUGAUCCCAAUAGUUGGGCCCACCACUGUGUGCGGUUCGAUGGAAUGAAGCUAAUAAAAUAACCGACGCGACGAGCUAAAAUGUUCGAAGGCAACUAAAAGCAGCAAACGGAAAUUCUUAGCCGCCGCCGACCGGCAAACAAUCGCAUCAGAAAAAAAACCAAAAGCAGAGAAGAAAACUUUCGAGAUGUUCCCAAUUGCAGAAGCUCACAAAUCUAUUUUAAAGGUGGUGGUUACUUCAGAAGUUCUGAGAUACCUUGCAAUAUAUAAAACCAUGAAGACCCUGAUAUUUUGGAGUAUAAGCGAUGUUUUUUCGAAAACUGGAACGUUGAUUUUUAUCACAUGAAGAGCUUAAGUCGUUAAGUCGAGUUUGAGGGACACAUGUCAAGAACCGCGUGCGAGCGAGAUGGAGCUAAUGGAGCACUUAUCUGGUAGCCCGGCGACUCCAGUUCAAGAGCCCAAUAUUUUUGUAUUUUUUUUUCUUGGGUGAUAAGAUAGUCGCGGGAACAGGAUAGUUGUAUAAGCGGUAUAUUGAUAAGACGACCGACAAUAUAUUGGCCAAAUCAUUUAAUCAAUUAAUUGCUGACAAAAACGAGCAAAAGUUCGAAGGUCAACAGGCGACAUUGCGAAAGUGUCCGUGACAUUGACCUCGACAUCUGGAAACUCAAAUAUCACCAAAACAAAAAAAAUAACACCAUAUCUAUGUAUGUAUGUCACCAUUUGACCCAGUUAAUCGAAAAUCGUGGAAUUAACGAAAAGGAAUGAAGGAAAUUAUUUGUAUUAUUGUAUCGUCAUGAGUGGGAAAGAGAGGUGGCGCAAACAAAGCUAGACAGAGACGGGGCGUACACGCGUUCAACAAACUUGAUUAACGGUUUAUCGAUUUGCCAUCGCACUCGCACAAACACGUGCUUUGUUUGUCGCUCCUAUUGAUUUUUACGACAUUGCAUGGAACUGAAAUA